rnacentral:rRNA from 1 species
GACGAACGCUGGCGGCGCGCUUAACACAUGCAAGUCGAACGGAAAGGCCUGCUUUCCCUUGUGGAUUGCGGGUACUCGAGUGGCGAACGGGUGAGUAACACGUGAGUGAUCUGCCCCCAACUUGGGUAUAAGCCUGGGAAACUGGGUCUAAUUCCCGAUAGGACUGCAGGGUGGUGCCUGUGGUGGAAAACGAUUUUCUAGUGGUUGGGGAUGAGCUCGCGGCCUAUCAGCUUGUUGGUGGGGUAAUGGCCUACCAAGGCGGCGACGGGUAGCCGGCCUGAGAGGGUGGACGGCCACAUUGGGACUGAGAUACGGCCCAGACUCCUACGGGAGGCAGCAGUGGGGAAUAUUGCACAAUGGGCGGAAGCCUGAUGCAGCGACGCCGCGUGGGGGAUGACGGCCUUCGGGUUGUAAACUCCUUUCGACCGCGAGGAAGCCACCUGCUUGGAAGGGUGGUGACGGUAGUGGUAGAAGAAGCACCGGCUAACUACGUG